rnacentral:rRNA from 1 species
UACGGAGGGAGCUAGCGUUGUUCGGAAUUACUGGGCGUAAAGCGCACGUAGGCGGCGAUUCAAGUCAGAGGUGAAAGCCCGGGGCUCAACCCCGGAACUGCCUUUGAAACUAGAUUGCUAGAAUCUUGGAGAGGUCAGUGGAAUUCCGAGUGUAGAGGUGAAAUUCGUAGAUAUUCGGAAGAACACCAGUGGCGAAGGCGGCUCACUGGACCGGUAUUGACGCUGAGGUGCGAAAGCGUGGGGAGCAAACAGG